rnacentral:rRNA from 1 species
AACGAACGCUGGCGGCAUGCCUAACACAUGCAAGUCGAACGAAACCUUCGGGUUUACUUGCGGACUGGUGGGUAACCGGUUGGAAACUGCCUUUAGAUCCGGAAUAUCUUCCGGAACGAGGUGCUGAUACCGGCUAAUAUACUGGGUCCAAAGAUUUAUCGCAUUUGGAUGGGCUGGCGUGGGAUUAGCUAGAUGUUAGGGUAAAUGCCUACCAAGGCGACGAUCCAUAGCUGGUCAGUGAGGAUGAGCAGCCACACUGGGACUGAGAGACGGCCGAGACUCCUACGGGAGGAAGCAGUGGGGAAUAUUGGACAAUGGGCGAAAGCCUGAUCCAGCAAGGCCGCGUGAGUGAUGAAGGCCUUGGGGUUGUAAAGCUCUUUUACCCGGGAUGAUAAUGACAGUACCGGGAGAAUAAGCUCCGGCUAACUCCGUG